rnacentral:rRNA from 1 species
UACGUAGGUGGCAAGCGUUGUCCGGAUUUACUGGGCGUAAAGAGCGCGCAGGCGGUCGUUCAAGUCGCGUGUGAAAGCCCCCGGCUCAACUGGGGAGGGUCACGCGAUACUGAUCGACUCGAAGGCAGGAGAGGGUAGUGGAAUUCCCGGUGUAGUGGUGAAAUGCGUAGAUAUCGUUUGGAACGCCAAUGGUGAAAACAGGUUGCUGGGAGUGUGCUGACGCUGAGACACGAAAGCCAGGGGAGCGAACGGG